ensembl:lncRNA
GGAAAGAAGCUGAUGAUGGCUGGUUUGUGAGCUCCAGCAUGUGGCCUUGUGAGCACGCUGACACUGAAAAUUGAAAACAUGUCCUGACACUCUUAGCUGGGAAGACAUCACACAGAGACAGCUUUGAGAUUCUUACCAGCUUUCUCCGGAAUCUGACAACCAAUAAGCAGGGUUUUACUCUGCAGUGGUGUGUGAAAGAGAGACUGUUUCUGCCAUGAAGUCUCAGUCAAAUUGAAAUGACGCUGGCCUUUGAGAUGUCCAUCAUCUUUAAUAAUACCAAAUUACUGGCCCCUGCUGGAGCCUCCCAGCCACUUCUCACUACACUCAGACGACGGCAUGCCGAUGUUGAGGAUGUAACGGAGAGCGUGUACUUGGUGGGCAGUUGUCAGCUUCUCUUUACGGCUCUCAUACUAAACCCCAAAUUGAGCAUUCACUACACAGCUGUCAACAAAAGCCAAGAACAACUGUUUCAGCGGGACCUGGUUGUUGCAAAACAAGCAGUGGGCAUGAGAGAUUUGGGCAAGCUAGCAUACACACGUGCGUGUGAACAGUCCCAAAAGUUACAAACAUCUCGGUCAAAUCAAAGGUUAAUUUAUAUGUAAACUGAGACUUCUUGAAACUGGUUGCACAAUUUUUUUGUGACGUUUGUUUUUUAUAUAUAUAUAUAUAUAUAUAUAUAUAUAUAUAUAUAUAUAUUUAUUUAUAUAUAUUUUUUUUUUUUUUAUAUAUUUGUUAAAACAUUAUCGAAGGACAAUACUUUUAAGUUUUGAGUUGUAAAAUAAAAAGAGGUUUUGAAAUAUUUAGUUUCACGUUCUUAACAAUUUCAACUUAAAGUUCUAGUCGGUGUCAAUUACUCUCAUAAUAAAUAAUAAUGUUCAAAUAUAUGUUGGCUUUCUCAAGCCCAACAAAGACCAAGAAGAGAAACAACCAAUUUAGUAUGUAACAAAACUAAUAAAAUUAUAAGGCAUGAAAAAUAGGGAUUUUAUUUGCCCUAAACCCUGUUAAUAUUUGUCAGUAAGGUGCGUUCACUGAUUCUACCUUCUCUCUUUUCUAUAUCAUACUUUUCAUAUGAACUCAGUUAGCUACACAUGCUUACAUUCAUAAAAUUUAAACGUUAUUUCUAAUUUAUUUAAUAAAUGUAACUUUAUUAAUUUUCACAAUUAUUUAUUAAUGUCACACACACACCUAGUGCCCUUUGACUUUGAACAGUUCCAUGAUAAUAUGUCUGUAACAUUUACCACUCUCAUCUUUUGUCUAUUAUUGAUUUUUAUUUCCACUUCACUUUUAUCCAAAGAGACGGAACUAUUUGCACUGUAUUAUGGGACAAUAUGGACAAUAUUCAUACAAUACUAUAACCUAGAAAUAAUUUAAAGGGGUCACUUGCAAGUCGCAGCAGCACGAAUUAUGUGCCCAGCAACAUCUGAUUCAAAUAUUAUGUUAAUUAACAGUGAGUGGUGGUUUCAGACAUUAGCCACAGUGUCGCACUCGUACUGACUCUUAUUCUGCCUGAAAGAAUGAAAAGGCCGUGCUGGAGGUGGAGCGAUUCGACCAAUCAGAUGAAAGCAGCGUUUCAGCGCCGCCCACAAGUGCGAAUGAAAUAUUGAAGACAUAAACCGAUUUGUAAACCUCAAAUGAAAAAUUAGAAAUUGAACCAAAAUCUAAUUUUCCGUUUGUUAAACUAAACGGAAAAACGAAUAAACGAGACAUUUUUCCAUUUCUUAUAUUUCAUUCAAAAUAGGAAAUGAAGUGAUCAAAACUUACACGGACCACGGACCUUCUGCAAUGUGUACAUUUCAGUUUGUUAAAUAAUUACAAAUAAAUGUAAAAUGAAUACCAAUCUGCAGUCAGCAUUUUUUUCAUUUUUUUAUUUUGUCCACAUUUUUCAAGGGAGACAACACAAUGUUUUUGUUUUUUAAGUGCCAUUUCCAUGCAUGUCUGUCUUUAAAAAAAAAAUGAGAACACGUUGCUGGAUGUAUGACACUUUGUCUGACCCCUAUAUUAAGUCAUGGCCCAUGGAAGUCUGUGUGGACAAGUUGUUGUUUUCUUUUCGCUGUCGACACUGCUUUGGUAAAAUGGGCCUUAAAUAUUUCUAGACAAUAAAUAGACUUUAACAACCACUGUCUUCUGGUGAUCCGGCGGGACUGUCAGUUGGCACACUUCUUGGGUGCAGAAGAUUCUGGAAAUGGGCAGUUUCUGUGCCCACAAGGUGUAGGCAGAUGGGACUUUUAGCAAUUUGGUACACAGAGGACUGCCCCUCAGGUGUCGCAGUGAUUCCGGAAGGGCUGAUUGUUGUGGCUGACUUUGGAAAGUUCUGAUUGGCCAGUAAAUCUUUAUUACUUUGUCUUUUUAUUACUUGUUUCUCUUUAUUGAUAAAACAAGUAGCUACAGUUUAUGGGGGUAAAUUGUCAUAAUUGAUGAACCAAAUUCAGAAGAUAUCCCUCAGUGAGGUCUACUUCAGAUUAAUCUUAAUUUCUUUUUAGAAGCUGUCUGAUAGUUGCUUGGCAUGAAAAGUGUAAAACCUGAUGCCUUGUCUCUCUACAGGUCAGAUUAAAGCAUGGUCUCUUGACCUCUCUGUAAACUCUUACCUUUCUCCUCAGGGAUUACUUGUGCUGUAUGACUUUGUCUACUCAGCAUUUCAAUUACCUCAUCAGACACAGAAAUGACUGUAGUCCCUAGAAGAACAAGCCAUGAAUAUUACAAAGAAAACCUCAUUGUUUUUUGCUGCCUCAGCAAGUUUUAACAAUGCAAAAACAAUGGACUUUGGGAUGUUGCUGACAGCAAAUGCCUUUUAUACUCUUUUAUUUCGUUGUGUGUUUUGAGUAAAACUAGUUUCUAGUUUUGAGUAAAAAAAAGUUCUGCGCUGCUAGUGCUCUUGGUUAGCCACAAUCACAGACAGUCAGAAACAAAGAAAAAAGAGACCAAAACACAAACAACCUAAGAUUUUAAUGAGUAUAUUAUUUACUCAUGUAAUUAAUCAGAUAAUGGUCCUGUAUUAUUUAAAUACAGAGGCAGUUAUAUAUUCUCAAUAUAUCAACUUAAUAUUUCUGUGGUGCCUAAGGCACAGUUAUGUAAGUGUCUAGGUAGGUCAAGUUAGCAUUUAGAGAUAAAAAAAAAAAAUUAAAUUAAGUUUUGUCUAUGCAGUACACUUUCAUUUUGAUAAAUAUAUAAGUCUAGGAGCUAGAACAAUUGGGUUUUGAAGUUUAUGUUUUUAUUAUUUUAGUUUUUUUACUAUUAUUAUUUAUUUAUUUUCUUCCAUAACAGACGUCUAUGUAAUGUAAGAGUGACUAACUCAGACACCAAAAGAGUUUGCUGUGUUUAGAUCGGUGCUGGUGGCACUUUCAGCCUGUGUAUGUUUGUGUGAAGCUG